GGGUGUCGAGCAGCAUGGGUUGACUGCAUCGGACUGUAAAUUCGACGCCUUACGGCACACGGGGUUCGAACCCCUGGACACCCA
rnacentral:tRNA from 1 species